rnacentral:misc_RNA from 1 species
GGCCCAUUCAUGCGAGCAAUCGCAGAUUGCAGCCUAUCAAAGUCCAGCCACUUUACCCCGACUUUGAUCGGUACAAGGACCCGUUUGUGCUUGCGAAUUACGAUAGUGCUCCAACUGCUGAUUCAGAAACUUACAGCAAGUUGGAUAAAACUGUUCGGGAUGCAUGUGAAUCACAGGCCGUUAUGAAAAGCUUCGUGGCUACAAGCUCAGAUGCCGAUAAACCUGACAAAUUUCUGGCAUAUAUGGUCCCUGCGCCGAAUGAGCUAUCGAAGGAUAUUUAUGAUGAAAGUGAGGAUAUCUCAUACUCUUG